GGAUGGAUGGAUUGAUUGAUUGUGAUACUGCAAAGGGGAAAGAGGUGAACAUUUUGUAUAUCCGAGCGGGGGAUAAGUAUGCUGCACGGACAGAUCGGAACAAGUAUUUGCCCCAGGCGACACGGCAGUGUCCUUGACAAGCUUUGUUCCUAUAGCUGACUUUUAUCUCCACUUCAGAGUCAAUAAUUAGCCACCCUGACAGACAUACAAGUGGUGUUUUUCCUCCUCAGGCAAAGGUGCAUCAAUGGUGGCUUUAUCUCACUAUUGCCACGGCGCCUGCUGGGCAUGUCCUGAGCUUGCAUGCGAGAUUUUCUUCCACACUGCUUUCAAGUAACAUUCAACACCAGACUGAACAAUACUUUUCUUUUAAAGGAGCAGUUCAGUAAAAUAAAUAGAAAUGGUCUUUUUUUCUCUC